GAAUCACUUGAAUCUGGGAGGUGGAGGUUGCGGUGAGCAGAUUGUGCCACUGCACUCCAGCCUGGGUGACAGAGCGAGACUUCAAAACAAAACCUAAAAGAUGAACUACAUUGUGAGGCAGGAUAUGGGGAGAAGGCUGAGUCUUAAAAUCUUGGGCUUGUCCUCUUAGCCCGUCACUUCCUCAUUAUGUGAUACAGGGAAGAAACCUACCUUCAUGAGCCUUAAGCUUCGCACCCGUAACAUGGAAAUAUUAUAAAGUUCUUGGGCUGUGAUGAUGGUGAAAUGAGUGACAAGUGUCUGUCAAGAUGGUAUGGGCUUAACAGGGCAACUGAGGAACUCUUCUACCCCACCCCCAAAAGACAGGCCAGUUUUCCCAUUUUUCUCUGUCCAGAUUUAUUCCCAGGUCUUGCAACGUAUUUGGGUCAUAGACUUCUUUGAGAAUGAUGAAAGCUGUGGACCUAUCCUUACAGUGCAUAGCUUCAAAAAGUUCACAGCCCAGGGGAGGACCACUGCUUUGAGAGGCUGUUAAUGUCUUUCUGCCUCUGGUGUUUGCCCCAAGCUGCCGGGUAGAUGGCCACCCUCUCCCAUCUUGCUCGCCUUGUUCUACACUUAGACUAUUUCUCCCUGGUUCUUUGACUUCUUUGGAGAGACCAGCUCAAAAGAUCGAAACCCAUUUUCUCAGCCCAAACCAGGCAUUGAGCCUAUUCUUUUUAUUCCAGGAGUGCUCUACUGAGAUGACUGUGCCGUAAGCCCUGUGAUGUGCAGAGUUUCUGCUUUGGAUGAAAUUAGUCUGCUUUAAGCCUGUGUCUCGUCAAAGGGCUUCCCUCUCUAAGCUUGGAGGAAUGGAUCUCACCUGUGUGGCAGGAGUGCUGAGGUGGUGGGUGUGUGGAAUGUGAUAGAUGGCUCCCCAAUACCAGAAGUGAGUUCAGCAAAGAGAAGGCCACGGAGAAUGACCCCAUUUUGGAGAGGGGUUUCCCUCAGGCCCAUUGGAGCCUCCUGCCGGGAUGAUUCUGAGUGUAUCACAAGGCUAUGCAGAAAAAGACGCUGUUCCUUAAGUGUGGUCCAGGAAUGAUGUACAUACCAGGGGAAGAAAGGACAGCAGUCACCUCUGACAAUGCUCCGUUCUAUGGAAUAUUGAUUAGCUGCAUUUUGGCUGGAGACACACAAGUGAAGCAAUCUUGUAUUUUUAAUAUUUAAAGGCAGAUGUAUGCUUUAAAUUGGUCUCCAUUUCUUCUUAGAAUGUUGAUAUAUGGAUAAGUAUAACUAAACUUGUCAAUUUAGAGUUUAUUUUUCUAUGGAUACUAUUAAAUGUCUCAAAUUGAAAUUUUAGCAGUUUGGAAUUCAAGUUUUUGAGGGAAAGAAGGAUUCACUUUGUAUACUAAAGAAAAAAACAGCAUUGCCCAAUAAUGUGUUAACUUCUCAAUCUGGAAAGUGUGGUGAGAGCUACAUAAUCAACAGCUCCGUAAUCAACUUCAGCAAGUUCUUAAGUUGUGGAUCCCUUCAUUCCAUAACUCUUCAGGGAGGUGUCAAAGGUGGUCAAGCUUGGGAGGCUGAGGCAGGAGAAUCACUUGAACCUGGGAGGCGGAGGCUGCAGUGAGCCGAGAUCAUGCCACUGCACUCCAGCCUGGGUGAGAGAGAGAGACUCUGUCUCAAAAAAAAAAAAAAAAAAAAAAAAAGGUCAGGCUUGGCACUUGCCAUCUAAUGAAGCACCCAGGUUUGUCUAUGACUGCCUGAACAUAAGGUAGAACAGAAAGAAAGAUCUAGUUUAAUAAAGCAAUAAAAGCCCAAGCCACCAAAAGCACCAAAAGAGAUUUAUGUUGGGACAAGGUGAAUUUUGACAUAUGCACAAGGACCCAUGGCAGCAAGUUCAGAAUUUCUGUAAUCAGAAAAUGAAACCUCAGCUGGCGGGAACAGACUUUUAAAGAGUAGUAAUGGACCUUAAGACACAAAACAGGAAUUGCAUGAAAAGGGCUCAGUUGAAGAAAUAUAAAGAGCACAGUGUUCAUUAACUUUAAUACAGAAAAUCUAUUUGAUAUUUAUUAAACUUAGUUUCUCCAGCUAUGGUUUGGCAUUGUACAAAGCAUCUUAAUGACACAGUAAAGUUAAAAAGAUCUUUACAAAUUGAAAUGUGAUACCCUUGUCUCCAAAUAUUUUAAUUGCCAUAAAUUUGUUUAAAAAUACACAUUAAACGCAUGUUUGACACUCUAAACUUUCUAUACUCUCAAUACCACAAAAUACAUAUAAUAUACUAUACAGAUGUGGAAAAAUCUAGUUAGUAUAUAAUACUUUGCUCACCAUUAACAGCUUUAUCAUGUGAAAUGCACAUACUGACUUAGAAAUCCUAGCUUUUGAGCCCCUAAGUACCUCUGAUAUUUUAAUGUAUUGCAACAAAUAAAAAUCACAGUAUAUAAUUGAAAUUCUGGUUGAAAAUGUCAGAUGCCUAAAUAUUUUGGAUAAAAGAAACGUAAAACAAAGAUUUGGUUCAUGUACAAAACAAAGGCAUCCUAUCAGUCACUAACAGUACCUUUCUGCAAAAUCAACAGACUUUUAAUUUAUCAGUGACAUUACCUCCCCUCCAAAACCCUCCCCAAAUAUCAAACAAUUAUUUACCAAAUAAUUUUAAUUUCAAAUAAAAGGAUUUUCAAUAAAUAUAUAAGCAUUUCCAUCCUCCAUAUACAAAAUUUCUUAAAACCAUUCAAAACGGAGGCUAGAUAGAAAUUUUCAUAACUGUGCUUACCAACCCCACAACUGGCCCUCAAAGGUGGUGCCUUUUCAGGCAAUGUCAGCUGGCCAGUUCUGUUGGUGAGCCCCCCACCCCCCACCCCACCCAUCCCAGUACUGUUGAAUGCUCAUGUUAAUGAUUUGCCAGGUGUGUGCAUAAAGUUGUAAAAUGGGGACACUUCUGGAACAGCAACAACAAACUCAACAAUAUGGAAAAUCAUGGCAUUGAUUUGAAAGGCAGCAUUUCCAAAUUGAUAUUUUCCAGAGAGGAACAUACCAGGUAGAAAAUUCCAAUGGUUAAAAGCUGAAAAGAAAUCCCACAUGGAAGCAGUUAAGAGGUCAAAACUGAGUAUUACUAGAAUUUCUGGGUGGGAGCUUUUUUAUUUUUAAGAAUGGCAAGUUAUGGUUAGCUGAGUAACAGCGGCAAGGAGGAGGUCAAUGCUGACAUUCCUGAAAGUCAACUUCUUUACAUGAUGACUACUUAGGCUGCUAUUUUAGGAUACUUAAAGAUCUCUAACACUUGGAUUAGACUUAACUUGAAUACCUUAUUCUGUGACUAAAUUACAUGAAAAGAAGAUACAUAGUUAUUCUUUCCAUUCCCUUUUCUGGAGACAGCAAGUUCUAAUUAACCAUAGGGUUCAUGUGAAUAGGAGCUUUAUAAGACCAGCAUCCACUUUACAAACUAUUAACAAUUUACUUUUUGUCACUUGCUAACUUGGUUUUGGGGUCUAGAGGUCUAAAGUGUAUUUCUCCAUUAGUGAGUAUCUGAAAGACGUGCUCACAAACAUGAAAAAUUUGGCCUCUUAUCGCUACAUAUUCCAAGGCAUUCAAUAAUUAUCUCUUCUAUUAAUUUUACUGAAUAGCAACCUUAGCUGUGCAGUAUUAUUACUGGAAAAAAGCCUGCCUCUUCAAUACAUUAAUGUAUAAAGCUGAAAUGAAAUUUAUGUUCCAUGUAUUAGGGGAUAUACAGGUAUGAUAGUUGUCUAUAUGGGUUUGAAAUGCUCUGGCUCCCCAAGUUACUUA